AUUCAAAUCACAUUCAACAGCUCAUGCUCGAAUAUCUGACAGAGAAAAGAAAGCUCCCUUGAAGACAUAACGACUUCAUUUGGCAUUGGUGUGGGCUUUUGGAUCUUGUGCUUCAAUGAAUGAAAUACUAGUGGCAGAGGGUGACUGCUAAAUUGGCUGUGGUCAUAGAUAAUUAUGUUGUAAUUUUGAUAAACCCUUUUGGUGGUCUU
rnacentral:misc_RNA from 1 species